AGUGAACGCUGGCGGCAGGCCUAACACAUGCAAGUCGAACGGCAGCACAAGAGAGCUUGCUCUCUGGGUGGCGAGUGGCGGCCGGGUGAGGAAUGCAUCUGAAUCUGCCCAUUUGUGGGGGAUAACCUCGGGAAACCGGGACUAAUACCGCAUACGACCUACGGGUGAAAGCAGGGGAUCUUCGGACCUUGCGCAGAUGGAUGAGCCGAUGCCGGAUUAGCUAGUUGGAGGGGUAAAGGCCCACCAAGGCGACGAUCCGUAGCUGGUCUGAGAGGAUGAUCAGCCACACUGGGACUGAGACACGGCCCAGACUCCUACGGGAGGCAGCAGUGGGGAAUAUUGGACAAUGGGCGCAAGCCUGAUCCAGCCAUGCCGCGUGUGUGAAGAAGGCCUUCGGGUUGUAAAGCACUUUUGUUGGGAAAGAAAAGCAGCCGGUUAAUACCCGGUUGUCAUGACGGUACCCAAAGAAUAAGCACCGGCUAACUUCGUG
rnacentral:rRNA from 1 species